AGGGGCUUCCCCUUAUGAAACCAUCAGAUCUCAUGAGACUUAUUUACUCCCACAGGAACAGUAUGGGGAAGCCAUCCCCAUGAUUCAAUGAUCUCCCACUGGGUUCCUCCCCUAACACAUGGGAAUUGUGGGAGCUACAAUUCAAGAUGAGAUUUGGGUGGGGACGCAGCCAAGCCGUAUCACAUCAGUAAAGAGGAAAUGGAUCACUUGCAUCCAAUCAUCUGUAACUAGCAACAUUGAACAUGCAUAUUACAAAAAAAACUUGAAGCCCAGAUUAUGUUAACUCACUUCAAUGAACAUCUCCAAAAUAUCUAGAAAUCAAAUCUGGAUUCCUACUGGCCAUAAGAGUUCAUUCAAGCCUUUAUCUUCUCUAAGCCUUAAUUUGUCUACAUGAAAAAUGGGUUAAUAUGUAUGCCACAGAAAUUUUAUGAGAAACAAAUUUGGUUUUGUAAAUAACAGGCAUUUAGCUUCUUUGCUACUGAGGCAUAGUUCACUAUUAAUUGACAUGUAUUUGUUUUGUGAUAGUAUCUCUGAAAAUGUUGAAAUUCCUUUGGGUACUUAUGAAACACAGUCAUCACAUAGCAGUAACUGGACAUAGAUACAUAAAAGCAGGCCAGAAUUUUUAUUUUCAAAUAUAAAAUUUCUUUUGUGGUUUCAAUCUGGAGAUUUAGAGAACUUUUAAGAUCUCUUUGAAAUAUUCCUCAGACUUGUUUGUGAGUGUAGCAGUUAUGCUUGGUUGUCUCCAUUUCAAGGUCUUCUCAGAAGGCAGAGUGCAUAUUUGUCAACUACUAUGGGGUAAGUUCACCCUUUUCCCAAGUCUAGGUGAGUGGUGAUUGGUCUAAGCCAGUGACGAAGGUAAUAUUCACCUUGCCAAUGGAUUCUCUAGGUAAGUGAUCCACUUCUGGGCAAUAUAAUGUAAAAGGAGACUUUCUAGGGGGUUUCUAAGAAAUGUUUUCGUACUCCUAAGAAGACCCUGGAAUAUACAGCCCAUUUCCUGCCUUUGGACGUCCUUGGUCUGGAUGUGAUACCUGAAAGGGUUGCAAACAUCUCGUUGUCAGAGCUCUCAAUAAGGAAUGGGAAGAUGCGGUCAUGAAAAGGAUUCUGUUAGAAACGCUUUCCCAGUGCAGAUGUGCAGUAACCCCACCAGGGUGACCUUCCCAAGUCAGAAUCCACCAAGAAAAGAACACUGAGGUGAACCAUCAUGUUUAAUGAUGACAUCUGAGGACGAUGACUUCAUGUGACUCAUAAACUCAGUUAAUUUUGUUACUCUAUUUCUAAAAUACAGUGGGGAAUGUGUCAGGAAAGCUCUAGUAUCAUACCAGAGGCCAGAGGUUCAAAAGUUCAGUCAAAAUCAAAAAGAUAUUUUUCUUUAAUAAUAAAAAAGAUCGUGUCAAGAUAGAUUCAAAAACCAUCAAGAAACAUGUCUUGAUGUCAAGAAACGUCUAUUAAUACAAAAGAACUUUGAGGAAUAUAAAGAAUGUAGGGGUUCGGGAUGGAAAAGAACAUUUGCAUGCUCCAGAGAUGCAGGAGAAAUUGAAGAUGCUUCAUCCACAUAAAAUAUGACCCUCUGAGUCCUGCCAAGGUCAAUGAGACCCAGAGCAAUCAGCUCAAUAUAAAAUUGGGGGUCACUUAUUUACAUUGUGGAAAAAUCUUAGGAACAUCUGUUCAAGGACUUUGGCUUUUAGAGAAGCAUGAAAUGGAGGAAGGACAAACUAAUGCACUUGCGUCUAAAACCACUCCACUCAUUUCAACUUCAGGUCACUGAUUAUAAAGAAAAUAGCUGUAUCUAUUCACAGACCUCAACAAGAAA